rnacentral:rRNA from 1 species
UACAGAGGUCUCAAGCGUUGUUCGGAUUCAUUGGGCGUAAAGGGUGCGUAGGUGGCGGGGUAAGUCGGAUGUGAAAUCUCAGGCUCAACCCUGAAACUGCAUUCGAUACUGCCUUGCUCGAGGACUGGAGAGGAGAUUGGAAUUCACGGUGUAGCAGUGAAAUGCGUAGAUAUCAGAAGGAACGCCGGUGGCGAAAGCGACUCUCUGGCUCGUAUCUGACGCUGAAGCGCGAAAGCUUGGGUAGCAAACGGG